rnacentral:rRNA from 1 species
GCCGUGAUCGUCGGGUAGCGGGCGAGCCCGCUGCCACGGUAGGAGACUCCUCCUUUCGUAAUCUUCCGUAGGGUGAACCUGCGGAAGGAUCAUUACGAAAGGAGGAGUCUCCUACCGUGGCAGCGGGCUCGCCCGCUACCCGACGAUCACGGCCCCCCUCACGGGGGGUACCCCCCACCCUUGUGUAUUAUACCUUUGUUGCUUUGGCGGGCCGCGUCAAGCCACCGGCUCACGCUGGUGAGCGCCCGCCAGAGGCCCCAACUCUUGAUUUUAUGAUGUCUGAGUACUAUAUAAUAGUUAAAACUUUCAACAACGGAUCUCUUGGUUCUGGCAUCGAUGAAGAACGCAGCGAAAUGCGAUAAGUAAUGUGAAUUGCAGAAUUCAGUGAAUCAUCGAAUCUUUGAACGCACAUUGCGCCCCGUGGUAUUCCGCGGGGCAUGCCUGUUCGAGCGUCAUUAUGACCAACAUCACGCCUGGCGUGGUCUUGGGGCUGGCAACUCUGCCGCCCUCAAACGCAGUGGCAGCGCCGCAUGGCUCUUAGCGUAGUAAUACUCCUCGCUAUAGGGUCCUACGGUUGCCCGCCAGCAACCCCCAAUCUUUACAGGUUGACCUCGGAUCAGGUAGGGAUACCCGCUGAACUUAAGCAUAUCAA